GGUGAGAUGGCUGAGCUGGCUGAAGGCGCACGCCUGGAAAGUGUGUUUAGGUUAACCCCUAACGAGGGUUCGAAUCCCUCUCUCACCGCCA
rnacentral:tRNA from 2 species